rnacentral:rRNA from 1 species
GGCUCAGAACGAACGCUGGCGGCAGGCUUAACACAUGCAAGUCGAGCGCCCCGCAAGGGGAGCGGCAGACGGGUGAGUAACGCGUGGGAAUCUACCCAUCUCUACGGAAUAACGCAUGGAAACGUGUGCUAAUACCGUAUACGUCCUUCGGGAGAAAGAUUUAUCGGAGAUGGAUGAGCCCGCGUUGGAUUAGCUAGUUGGUGGGGUAAAGGCCUACCAAGGCGACGAUCCAUAGCUGGUCUGAGAGGAUGAUCAGCCACACUGGGACUGAGACACGGCCCAGACUCCUACGGGAGGCAGCAGUGGGGAAUAUUGGACAAUGGGCGCAAGCCUGAUCCAGCCAUGCCGCGUGAGUGAUGAAGGCCCUAGGGUUGUAAAGCUCUUUCACCGGUGAAGAUAAUGACGUAACCGAGAGA